rnacentral:rRNA from 1 species
UACGUAGGUGGCGAGCGUUAUCCGGAAUUACUGGGUGUAAAGGGUGUGUAGGCGGGACGGCAAGUCUGGUGUGAAAAUUAUGGGCUCAACCCAUAACCUGCAUUGGAAACUGUCGUUCUUGAGAGUGGGAGAGGUAAAUAGAAUUCCAGGUGUAGCGGUGAAAUGCGUAGAUAUCUGGAGGAAUACCGGUGGCGAAGGCGAUUUACUGGCCCAUUACUGACGCUGAGACACGAAAGCGUGGGGAGCAAAC